GCCUGGAUAGCUCAGUUGGUUAGAGUAUGAUGCUGAUGAUGCCAAGGCUGUAGGUUCUAUUCCUGUAUGGGACA